rnacentral:lncRNA from 1 species
AGUCUAGCAGCUGGAGGGAAGACGCCCUGCACGGUGACAAGCCCCCCAGGGACAGAGGCAAGGAGGCAGGGGGCGGGGUAGGGGGAGCCGACGGAGACCCGAGGAGGGACGGCCUUGCUAGUUGGGCAUUUUGUUUUUAUGUAUUUCCAUCAGCAAGAGAAAAUGACACCUGGUACCAGUGCCUCGCGUUUGGCCAAUGAGCACCGUCACCACCUGAGUUCUGACUGCCCAACAGACCAGGGCCCGCAGCUGGGGUGUGCAGGGCAGGGNGAAGGGCCGCGGAGGCUUGGUUGGUGG